CGGCUUCACUUUGUCUAUGAUUAAUGAUGGGAAAACAAAACUUUGAAGUUGCCUCAUGGACCAGUUUUAUUUAUUUUUUUAUCAAUAUAUGAAGACUGUAUUUGGAUUGUUCGAAGCUUUGGGCUACUGUCUUUGACAAGCAAACAUUUUAGCUUUGUGAUAGACAUUUAAGUUCCAAUGCGUGUGUGGCAUAGUUUAUGAUA